rnacentral:misc_RNA from 1 species
CGCGAUGAUGAGAAGGCCUGCCUGAAAUUCAUGAUGAGGAUAUUGAGUUCUGAGCG